rnacentral:rRNA from 1 species
UACGAACCGAGCGAACGUUAUUCGGAAUCACUGGGCUUAAAGGGUGCGUAGGCGGGGACGCGAGUCAGGGGUGAAAUCCCACGGCCCAACCGUGGAAGUGCCUCUGAUACCGCGGGCCUCGAGGGGGAUAGGGGCGUGCGGAACUUCCGGUGGAGCGGUGAAAUGCGUAGAUAUCAGAAGGAACACCGGUGGCGAAAGCGGCGCGCUGGAUCACUACUGACGCUGAGGCACGAAAGCUAGGGGAGCAAACAGG